GACAGAGGUCUCAAGCGUUAGGCGGAAUCACUGGGCUUAAAGCGUGUGUAGGCGGAUCGUUAAGUGCUUUGUGAAAUCCCACGGCUCAACCGUGGAACUGCUUGGCAUACUGGCGAUCUUGAGCCAUCUAGGGGUCGCUGGAACAAACGGUGGAGCGGUGAAAUGCGUAGAUAUCGUUUGGAACGCCUAUGGUGAAAACAGGCGACUGGGGAUGUGCUGACGCUGAGACACGAAAGCCAGGGGAGCAAACGGG
rnacentral:rRNA from 1 species